AAAUGAGAUUCGGUCAGAGGGGGUAAAACCUCUCGGGCUGUCAACCUCCACCCUUGUGUAUUUUGCAAUUGUUGCUUUGGUGGGCCGCGACCCUCACGGGGAGCACCGGCUUCGGCUGGAGAGCGCCUGCCAGAGGACCCCAACUCUGUAUUUUGUAACAUCUGAGUACUAUAUAAUAGUUA
rnacentral:misc_RNA from 1 species